rnacentral:rRNA from 1 species
GAUGAACGCUGGCGGCGUGCCUAAUACAUGCAAGUCGAGCGAACGGACGAGAAGCUUGCUUCUCUGAUGUUAGCGGCGGACGGGUGAGUAACACGUGGAUAACCUACCUAUAAGACUGGGAUAACUUCGGGAAACCGGAGCUAAUACCGGAUAAUAUUUUGAACCGCAUGGUUCAAAAGUGAAAGACGGUCUUGCUGUCACUUAUAGAUGGAUCCGCGCUGCAUUAGCUAGUUGGUAAGGUAACGGCUUACCAAGGCAACGAUGCAUAGCCGACCUGAGAGGGUGAUCAGCCACACUGGAACUGAGACACGGUCCAGACUCCUACGGGAGGCAGCAGUAGGGAAUCUUCCGCAAUGGGCGAAAGCCUGACGGAGCAACGCCGCGUGAUUUAUGAAGGUCUUCGGAUCGUAAAACUCUGUUAUUAGGGAAGAACAUAUGUGUAAGUAACUGUGCACAUCUUGACGGUACCUAAUCAGAAAGCCACGGCUAACUACGUG